UAGGGAAUCUUCCGCAAUGGACGCAAGUCUGACGGAGCAACGCCGCGUGAGUGAAGAAGGAUUUCGGUUCGUAAAGCUCUGUUGUUCGAGAAGAACAGCGCAUAGAGUAACUGUUAUGCGUGUGACGGUAUCUAACCAGAAAGCCACGGCUAACUACGUGCCAGCAGCCGCGGUAAUACGUAGGUGGCAAGCGUUGUCCGGAUUUAUUGGGCGUAAAGCGAGCGCAGGCGGUCAAUUAAGUCUGAUGUGAAAGCCCCCGGCUCAACCGGGGAGGGUCAUUGGAAACUGGUUGACUUGAGUGCAGAAGAGGAGGGUGGAAUUCCAUGUGGAGCGGUGAAAUGCGUAGAUAUAUGGAGGAACACCAGUGGCGAAGGCGACUCUCUGGUCUGUAACUGACGCUGAGGCUCGAAAGCGUGGGUAGCAAACAGG
rnacentral:rRNA from 1 species